rnacentral:rRNA from 1 species
UACGGAGGGUGCAAGCGUUAUCCGGAUUUACUGGGUUUAAAGGGUGCGCAGGCGGAUAUGUAAGUCAGUGGUGAAAUCUCCGGGCUUAACCUGCAAAUUGCCGUUGAUACUAUAUAUCUUGAAUGCUGUGGAGGUAAGCGGAAUAUGUCAUGUAGCGGUGAAAUGCUUAGAGAUGACAUAGAACACCUAUUGCGAAGGCAGCUUACUACGCAGAGAUUGACGCUCAUGCACGAAAGCGUGGGGAUCAAACAGG